rnacentral:rRNA from 1 species
GAUGAACGCUGGCGGCGUGCCUAAUACAUGCAAGUCGAGCGAAAUUUUGGGAGCUUGCUCCCAAUAGUUAGGGGCGGACGGGGGAGUAACACGAGGGCAACCUGCCUGAAAGACUGGGAUAACUUAGGGAAAGGGGAGCUAAUACCGGAUAACAUAGAAGACAAGAUGGAAUUCAAUUAAAAGGUGGCUUUUGGCUAACACUUACAGAUGGAGUCGCGGCGCAUUAGCGAGGUGGUGAGGUAACGGCAAAGCAAGGAGACGAUGCGUAGCCGAGCGGAGGAGGUGAACCGCCCCCCUUGGACCUAGACACGGCCCCAGCUCCUUCGGGAAGCAGCAGUAGGGAAUCAUUCGCCAUGGACGGAAGGCUUACUGAACAACUCCCGCUUGGCUGAGGAAGGCUUCGGGUCGUAAAGCUCUUUUUUUAGGGAAGAACAAGUAUCGUUCGAAUAGCGCGGUACCUUGACGGUACCUAACCAGAAAGCCACGGCUAACUUCGUG